rnacentral:rRNA from 1 species
UACGGAGGGUGCGAGCGUUGUCCGGAAUCACUGGGCGUAAAGGGCGCGUAGGUGGCCCGCGCAAGCGUGCGGUGAAAGCCCGGGGCUCAACCCCGGGUCGGCCGUGCGGACUGCGGGGCUGGAGCACUGUAGGGGCGGGUGGAAUUCCGGGUGUAGCGGUGGAAUGCGUAGAGAUCCGGAAGAACACCGGUGGCGAAGGCGGCCCGCUGGGCAGUCGCUGACACUGAGGCGCGACAGCGUGGGGAGCAAACAGGAUUAGAAACCCGUGUAGUCC